rnacentral:tRNA from 1 species
GGAUCGGUGCCUGAGUGGAAGGGCACGGUUGCAGCCCGUUGCAAACCCCGGACGCCUUGAGUGUCGGACGUUCGAAUCGUUCGCCAUCCACCA